rnacentral:rRNA from 1 species
UUGAUUGUUUUGUUGAUUUAUUUGUGGUGUAUUAUUUUUUAUUGAAGAAUCAUUGGUGGUUAUUGUAGAUUAUCUUGAUACAAUUUUUAUACGAUAGUGUAUUUGUACCGUGAGGGGUAGAAUUUGGUUAUAAGUUUAUUUAGGAAGCUGAUUUUAUUUGUUGUACCUUGUGUAUCAGGGUUCAUUGAAAUUUAUUAUUUAUUUUUAUUUCCCGAUUUUGAAGGAGUUAAUGAUCUAUGUUAGUUACUGUUUCACCAGUAUUGAUAAUAGGUUAUUGGUAGUGAAAUGUUAUUCGUCUUUAGUGGUUUCUGGUUUUUCAAGAAAUGAAUUUAAUUCAUACAUCUUAUUUAAUGUUUAUUUUUUAAUUAUUUAUUUUUAUUUGAUGUUAAGAUUAAGGGGGAUUAGCUCUUUAUUUUAUUUUUAUAAUUGUUGUUGAGGAUUAAUAGUUUUGUGGAUUUUAUAGUGAUUUUCGGUUUGAUUAUGUUAAAAUUUUACUUGUUUUUGUUUGUGAAAUUUCAUUUAAUUUAAUUGGUUUAUUGGAAUAUUUUCUUUACCUUGGUCUGUAAAGUAAUUAUUGUGGAAUUAGUAAAUUUUUUUUUAUUGUUCUGUUAAUUGAUUGGUGUUAAAUUCCUUUUUAGGAAUUAGGCAAAAAUUCAUGUCCGCCUGUUUAACAAAAACAUCUUUUCUUGUUAGUUUUUGAAGUAUGGCCUGCCCACUGACAUUUAGGNNNNNNNNUGUUUAUUGAACUUGGUCUUUGAGUUAAAAUUCUUAAAUGUUUUUAUGGGACGAGAAGACCCUAUAGAGUUUGACAUCUGUUCUUGUUUUUAUUUAAAGUGGUUUGUAUUAAUUGUUUGAUGAGGACACAUGUUUUGUUGGGGUGAUGGGAGGAAUUUAUUUAACUCCUCUUUGGUUUAAGUUAUAUAUUUAUGUAUAUUGGUUUUGAUCCAUUUAUUUUGAUUAUAAGAUUAAAUUACCUUAGGGAUAACAGCGUUAUCUUCCUUGAGAGUUCUUAUUGGCGGGGAGGUUUGCGACCUCGAUGUUGGAUUAAGGUGAAUUUUUGGUGCAGGAGCUGAAAUUGAUUAGGUCUGUUCGACCUUUAAAAUCUUACAUGAUCUGAGUUCAGACCGGCGUGAGCCAGGUUGGUUUCUAUCUAUAAUAAUGUUUUAUAUCUUAGUACGAGAGGACCGGGUAUUUGGAAUAAUUUUGGUUAAUGUGGUUGGUGUUAAUUUGG